rnacentral:lncRNA from 1 species
GGAUGCAAAAGAACCUUGGCUGAUUAGUUCAUUGAUAAGGUUGUUGUAAUACUGUAAUCCCUUGGGAUUGAUUGGUCCUUUCCCAUCUGGUAAUACAAGAGAUCAAGGUCAGAACAACAAAUAAUUUCAUAGAUGCUCAUGAAGGUGCGAGAAUUAUUUUAGAUGCUAGUUUUGGUCAAAAUGCUAGAACAAUUACUUCUUUUACUCCAUGAUCACAUAUAAGAAUCUAUCAUUUGCUACAUUUGUGUGAUAAUACCUGGAACAAGCCUUGACCAAGAUAUGGAAAAUCUGUAGGCAUCUAAACCCAUUUUCACCAUGAGUUUGACAUCUUCCUGCAAGAAAAGAUGGGCAUGUAUACUACUAAUAAGAUAUUUAUGUGUGUAUGGAGGAUGCUUUAUGGUACAAAUUAUUAGGUUGGAAGGUUAAUUUAAAACCAGUCUCUGAGCUGCGAAAGAUGAGACUGCUGCUAAUCCAUGGGUAUACAAUAUACAUGCCACAUCUACUGACCUUAUACUUGUGAUAUUGAUCGCAUCCAAUGUCCUUAUCUCCCCUGUGUAUCUUUGCUGAAAAUUGAAGGGAAAUGAAGAAUUUCAUUAUUGUAACUAUGAAUAUGUGAUCAUGAAUACAUGUCCUCUAUAGAAACCCAUGGUCUAAAGGGAUCUCUUAGAACAUUUGUUUUUUCUUUGGACAGUACUCUAUACCUAUAAUGAGUGAUAAUUACUUUUUCUGGGUAUAAGAAUUUUUCUUAUACUACAAGAAUCCCAAUCUGAUGCUAUAUCUUAAAGGUUCUACUAUUUUUGAAUGCAUUCACAUAACUUGUGGGACUAAAAAUCAGACAGGAGUAAUAGAUACACUACACCACUACGCUACGUGGGAAAGACACUCCUGAAAAAUCACUAAACCAGAUACUGCUACUCCUAACAGUAGGUCCUUACAACAGGUGCAGACCAAUAGGAAACUCAUGAGCCUCAUUAGCUAGAUAAUCUGGAACCUGGUUAUCUUCUUGAUAAACAUGAAAGAAAUGAAUUCUGCAACACCUCCACUUCGAAUUCUGAAUCUGAAGAAUCAUAAUUUUACUGUGCUCAAAUAGCUUAGGUAACAAACUAACCAUUUUGGGUUAGUAAAUUUAUUAUCAUCAAACAUUACUAACUUAAAUAACCCAAUUAAAAUCCAAAAAACACACACUCACAAAUUGCAGAAAUUAAGUUAUAUAUGCAUAAUGAAACAGCACCAUUGCCAGCAGCAUGUACGAAGGUAUCCCAUAUGCUAGGCUUCCUGCCAUCUUCAUUUGCAGCAUCUUCAACCUUUCAUUCACAUCAUCCCAAUUCCCAAAUACAUAGUUUAAUACACAAUUGGUUAUAUACACACAUAUAAUAAAAAAUAUGAAGAGAACCUGAUAUGCUGAUGAUGAUGCACCAAACAAGAAGUGAGGUGGGAAGUCAUUCUUGCUCAAGGGAUUAGCCAAUACAGCUGCAGCUAACAAAUGUAUCAGAACAAAGACCACCUUUAACAUCCUCAUCUUUUUCUCCUUUGAACUGUGUUUUUGGAACAUCAAGCAUGUAAUUUCUUCGUUAAGGACAAAAUAAAAGUAAAGUAUAUAUAUUGUUUAUGUGAACACCAUAUAGAUUUUAGGACAGCGUGAAGCAUCUUAUUUUUAUUAAGACAGAACGUGACGUGAAAUAGACCAACUCAGCAAGCUGACGCACACUUAAAUAUGUCUUAAACCCCUGCAUUUGUAAAAAUACCUGCAGAUUCAAAAUCAAUUGUUUUACUUAUAAAUUAACAUUUGUUUUCUGGUUUGGGGAAGAGGUUGCUGCACUGAGUCCGAUUAUUUUAGUAAACUUGCUAGUGGGAGGCCAUUUAGGAGUAGCUGGACAAGUGUUUUUUGUGUUUUAGAGGAAUUAGUCAAAGAAUUUAAAGGUAGUGGUGUCAGGUGGGUGCAUCAUGGCAGUAUCUUUCUCUUUGAUGGUUGUUCUUGAACUUUUGCUAUGUGCUUAUGUGUUAGGGGUGUUUUCUUUAACCCCAACUUGAGAAGGUGUGUCCUCAAGGUGUUUUUUCUUUAUAAUUAAUCAAAUUUUGCUGUUAAAAAACAUUAUUUUAUUUUCAAAAAUAAAUAAUUUAAAGACCAAGAUUCCUGCAGUUUGAUUUUGAACACCAGAGGAUUGUGAUCCCUUUUUUUUCUCUCUUUUUGAUAGGUCAAAUAAAUUAAUGGGGAGCACAAGGGAUGCUCCAACAUAUUACAAUCAGAAGCAAACAGUAAAAAGUCCAAGGCAGGAUUGUGAUCCCUUAAAAUAUAACUCAUGCUAAACUAUUUACUGGUACUUGUCACAUUAUAUUCCGGUAUGCCCAAAUGACUAAUCAGCAUACUAUUAUCUUGGUCACCCAAAUGACUUGACUAUAAGAAACCAUCAAGUUGUUCGGCCAAGUCAAACAAAGAAUUUUCACUCUUCAAACCAACUAGUUAAACAUAAAACUAAAUUGUUAGAAUUGUGGUCAAGUUACCAAAGCAAAGUCCAAGCCGCAGUACCUCCUAAAUUGUUAGCCUUCCAUUAAUCAAGAUUGCAGGAAGAGAUUUAUUAUUGAAAACUGAAAAAGAACAAUUCCAGGAUUGAAAUAAGAGAUUGAAAGAGAAGGAAAGAAAAGAUAAAGACUUACAUCUUAUCUCUCUAAGAGCCUCUGACUAACUCUCCGUCAAGUUCUGCCUCUUAACAAAAGAGAGACUCUCUAUUUAUAGAAAAUAAAAAGCACUAUUUGAAUAGUUCCGGUCAUGAACACGAACUGUUUAGUACUAUAGCUACAGUGAAAAGUCAACUUUGUGACAAUAAAAAGUACAACUAUUGAGUUGAAAAAUCAAUAAAGUUCGUCUUCACUGUCUUCCAGGCUGUCCGCUCCAACACUUACACUGUUAAACUCAUUUUUAACUAUUAAUAUUAUUUAUAGUUGUAAUACUAAAAAAAAAUUAGAAUAACAUCACUCAAUUUCAAAUUGCAUUCUAAAUUGGCAUACUGAGUUAUUGUUCUUUCCGGGUGAAUGUUGAACUCACUCCAAAUAUUUAACCAACUAUUCUGUGGUUUUCAUUUCACUAGUACCACUCUGUAAGCUAGAUACAACUUAUUUUCUCUCUUAUUGCUCUCUUUAGAUUAUAAGAUUCUCUCUGAUCCUGAGCUGACUUGAGCGACAAUGUGGCUUUUGCAGGUACCUCAUAUGGCGUGGAUAUUCAAUGCAUCGCCAUGCACAUCACACUGGCCGUCGUGCUCUCUGCCAAGCUUGAUUGGAAAACCACUCUGCUAAGCUUCUGGAAAAAACAAUUGGCGCCAUCUUUGGAAGCUGUAAAUUUAUUCUCAUUACCAUGUUGAAGACACGCCACCAAACUACGCAAUAACGCAAAGAUGUAAACAGCUUCCACAUGGAAACUCAAUUCCGUACUAAGUACAACAAGAACCUUUGAGAACUCCUUCUCAACGAAAUAAAGAAGUUGGAGUUCAGAGUCCAUUCUCAAUGGAGAUUUUGUUAUUGGAUUUCCCAAAAGGAUUGGAGAAGCUAACGGGGUAGAAUCGUAUAAUGGUAAAACUGAUCCUAUUGAACACUUGGCUACAAAUGUUGUAGCCUGCAAGAAGGUGCUUCGCACAAAAUAAGGAUUGACUCAUUAAAAGCAUGUAUAUCUAAUUAUCUAGAAGAUAAAAUCUCUUAAUAUAUCCCUUAACUUUAGGGAUCUUCUAAGACGAUUACUUCCCCAAUAUCUCUAAUAUCACGUAGUAACUAUAACAUGUUCUCCAUCAUUUAUAAAUAAGGUUCAUAGGACCCCUCAAAGGUACACACUACUUGUCUAACCCUAAUCCUUAUCUCUCGCUCAGUGUCGUCGGAGUGCCUUGAAGUAGUCGAAGUUAACACUCAUGCUCAGUUUUCUAAUCCGAACAAAAAUCUUACCAGAGAGUUCUGUUUUUGCCAUGCACAACAUUGUAAGUAUCUCGACUUAGCUUCACAAUCCCUUUUAAUUUUAGGUGUUCAGUGGAUGAAGAAGAAUACUGGCAUGUGAGCUUAAUUCAGUUGGAGAUUCUAUAGCUAAAUGUAUAUACUAGUGAUUAGUGAUAUAAGGGCAAGGCAACUUUGAUUUAGAUACCCAGCUAAGCCAUAGCAUGAUAUCAGAGGAAUAUCAAAAGUGAUCAGACAAAUAGCAUGAAAAAAUAUUCACAUUCAUCAUCAUAGCAAAAAUAUCUCGUUUCCUGUGGAUUAAAAUUCUAAUGUUUGUCAUAAGUUUAUACACUAUAAAUCUUGUCACUUUAUUCUCUCACACGGUAACAUAAGGAAGCAAAUAAGGACCGUGGUAAGAAAGAUGAGAGUACAGAACAAAAUUCAAUUUUAACUAGUCUUGAUUACUUUAAAUGGCACUAUGCAGUAAAGGGGUGUUGGAAAGCCCAGAUGCAUUCUGCUCAGUGUUCAUGGUGAUGGUGGUGACCUUUGAGUCCAUACUCUCAUUGUGCAGGAAAUUUGUGUACCACACAGAAGAAAGCUUAGGUUGCCUCCUCAAGGUUGGAUCUUUCAAAUCUACGUAGUAUAGGCCAUAGCUUGUUUCAUAUCCAGUCAGCAACUCAAACAUAUCCAAGAAGGACCAUACAAAAUAACCUCUCAAAUUCAGUCCAUCCCUUUCAAUGUGAAGAGAAAAAUGAAAAAAAAAAUGGGAAGGGGAAAGGAGAGAAAAGAACAAACAAAAAAGAACUUCAUUAGCCUUCAGGGAAAAUAUAACGUGAGAAUAUAUAGCAUGAAAAUCCUUUUACAAUUGAUUCUGAAGCCAAAACCAACUAUGGGAAAAAGCUUUUGUGAGUAACUUUUGAGUGUCAAAAUUCAUUAUGAGAAAAGCGAAGUUGAUCCAAACAUGCUCUUAAUAGAGUAGAGUAGAAUGCUGAUAAUGAAGAUUUAUAUGAGUAGUUUCUAAGUGCCAGAAUUGAUCACGAGAAAAAAGAAGCUGGUCCAAACAUGUUAAAGUAGAGUAGAAUCAAAGGAAUGCUGAUAAUGAAAAUCAUGUAAGGGUCCCAUUAUACCUACUGUGAAGUUCCUACUUGAAAAUUAAAAUAUAAGUACCUCAGUAUAUCUCGCAGGCUCCCUAUGUAUUCACGCAAGUACUUCACCCUUGGCAAGUCAUCUAAUGAUGAAUUCCGUGGUGUCUGUUGACCUGAGAAGUUAGAAAAUUUAUCAAAGCAGUACACCAGAAAAGUUGAGUUUGUUGAUAAAAGGAUUUGAAGGCUUACAACACAUUGAUCUCAGCCAAGCAUACCAUUUUCGUGAAUGUAAACUGGAAAAUUGCCAUAAUCUUUCUUCAAUGACUCAAGUAACCCUUUCAAACUCCAGGUUGUAAUUGGAACCUAAACCAACCAGCUAGUUAGUAAAAAAAUUGAAGCUUCAAUGGUUAAAGAAUAAGAGGAAAAACACUGUCCAAACUCUACUCUUACCUCAUAUGGAGACGUACCAGUUUCAGCAAAGGCUACAGCCAGAAGAAAAAACAAAACAUAAUUAGAUGAAAGUUCCACAAAGUUGGAUAAAAGCGGAUUACCAAACGAUGAUAUGGCAUACUAAAGUUACUAAGUAAACAACUUCCAACAGUUUGGAUUUUUGUACUAAUAAUUAUUUGUGUAUGAGAUAUGACAUGCUUGCAUCUAAAAGAAUUUCGUUCAGGGUGAGUCCAUGUAUGGCCAGAGAUGGUCUAUAAAGUAUUAUCAAGUACCAACAGGGGCAAGAAGACAUUGAUUUUAAAAAUCACAAUGAUGAAUAUCAACCUCCAAUUAGGAAGGUAUAUGAGUGGAGAAAUAAGAGAAAGGCUAUAGCUUAGCCUUAUAGUGAUUUCUGAUAUUAGAAGCAGUUAGUGUUAGCUGUUUCAGUUACUGUUAGUUGGUUCAGUUACUGUUAUGUCAGUUAGAGAGAGGUAUAAAUAAGAGGGAAAGGGGUAGUUAGAGCCUUAGAGGAGUUAGGAAUUCAGUUGGGACUAGGAGAGACUGGACUCUCGAACAUUCCAGAGGGGAGUUAGGGUUUCUCUAUCUCCAUUGUUGUACCUUAAGCUUUGGUUCUCUGUUCAAAAAACUCAGUUCUUGUUCUGUGUCCAUCACACAAAGACUCAGAACCAGCAGAGAAGUUAAAAAUAACCCCUGCUUGAUCAAAAUUAAAGCAAAUAAAAAAUCAUAAAUGAUGAAAAAAUACAAUCUCAUUUGAUCUCCUUUUGCAACAUAUAAAACAGAGAGGAAACACAUCUCUUAAAAAAAGAUCUCAAUUCAUAAAGUUGAGGAUGAUGUUUCAUAGAAUAAAGAAAGAUUUAUAUGUAAGUUACUUGUUUAACCUCAAUAUAUGAUAGGUUAUGAAAUCAGAACUGGUUCAGUAAAUGGUAAUGUAAACAUACGUAUAAGCUCUGCGGCAACAUCUUCGGCGAAACCUCUAUCCUCUGAGUCCAGGCUACCUGGGUUGUUCUUGACUAUAUAUGAGUAGUAGAAAUUUAUUCCUAGGAAGUCCAUUGAGCCUUUGACCAGAUUUGAUUCCCUUUUGGUGAAGACAGGAAGUCUUGAGCCAGCAUUCUUUUUCAUGAUGCUAGGAUAUUCUCCAAAAAUUAAGGGAUUCAAAAACCUGCAAAAACAAACCACAGACGAAAUCAGCUCUAGCAAUUCAUUGAUGAAUAAAGAAUGUCAAAUUGUUUGAAGAAAAUUAAAGUGUUGGAUGCUUAUGGCAAUAUCCAUUACUCGAAUAAUGACAACAGACAUGUCAGAGUGUUACGUACCACCCUGCAUAGAAGUCUUGGGCCCUUUGAGCGGCAUUAAUAUCUUCACUAGUAUUUGUUAGAGGAAUAAAACCAAAGGUAAGGAGAUUAAACCCAAUAAAUCCAUGUUGCUUGUCCUACAUACACCAGAGGCAGUUUUUAAGACAUCAUAUUUUGAUUAUCAUCGUGAAAAGGAUAUCAUAACUAUCACCUUAUGCAGCAACAUCCGUCAUAAUUAUGCUACCCAAUGUAAAAGAAGUCCUAGAUGAAGGAAAAAGAAGAGAAGUGCAUCAUGCUUGUAACAUAGAUUGGUUUACCUGGUACUUCUUCCGAUACAGUCUAGUAGCUGAUGCAUGUGCUAGCAAAACAUGAUGGGCUACCAAAUAUGGCUCAGUUGAGGAAUUUCCCUUAGAGCAGUUAGAUAUAGAGGAAGGAGAACAAUGUUGAGGUGGUAAAAAUCCUGCACCAUAGCCCCCGAUUGCGAACACAUUUGCCUCAUUCACUGGGGUCCAAUAUUUAACUCUAUCCCCAAACUCUCUGAAGCACACAUCUGCAUAUGCUGUGAAGUCUUUUCUGCAAGUAAACAUAUACAAAUAGGUAAAUGUUAAUCCCAGACAGAUGAUUUUUCUUGUAUUUAGCUAUAUGCUGUUUGUUUGAAAUUGUAACUCCUAUCUAAUAGAUGCUGGAUUGAUGGUCAUGGGUAGAGACUUGAAGUUCGGGAACCAUACACUACUCUUCGGCUAACCCAUCCUCCAUAUUCAUCUUCAAGUGCUUGUGGUAGGUCCCAAUGUUGCAAUGUAACAUGUGAUUGGAUUCCUACAAAUGAAGAAAAACAAAGAACAAAUGUAUAACUUGGAAGGGAUUUCUUUGAAGUGUUAGAUAAACUUGAAAAAGUAAUUCUAGUUUGCAAAAGAACCAUUGCGUGUUAGUUCGUUGAUGAGGUUGUUGUAAUACUGUAAUCCCUUGGGAUUGAUUGGUCCUUUCCCAUCUGGUAAUAAAAGAGAUCAAGGUCAGAAUAACAAAUAACAUAAUAGGGUCUUGUAAGAAACUAUAAUUGCAUAGAUGCUCAUGGAGUAGCAAGAUUCAUUCAUGGCACCAGAAUCAAACCAAGUGUAUGUCAAUUACAGUCAGCUCUUGCAAUAACUUUAGAUGCUACUCUUUAACAUAAUCCUAGAAUAAUU